UAGGGAAUCUUGCGCAAUGGGCGAAAGCCUGACGCAGCAACGCCGCGUGAGGGACGAAGGCUUUCUGAGUUGUAAACCUCUUUCAGCAGGGACGAUUGUGACGGUACCUGCAGAAGAAGCACCGGCCAACUACGUGCCAGCAGCCGCGGUGAUACGUAGGGUGCAAGCGUUGUCCGGAUUUAUUGGGCGUAAAGAGCUCGUAGGCGGCUUGGCAAGUCGGGUGUGAAAUCUCCAGGCUCAACCUGGAGCGGCCACUCGAUACCGCCAUGGCUAGAGUCCGGUAGGGGACCAUGGAAUUCCUGGUGUAGCGGUGAAAUGCGCAGAUAUCAGGAGGAACACCAGCAGCGAAGGCGGUGGUCUGGGCCGGUACUGACGCUGAGGAGCGAAAGCGUGGGGAGCGAACAGGAUUAGAUACCCUGGUAGUCCACGCCGUAAACGUUGGGCACUAGGUGUGGGGCCUAUUCAACGGGUUCCGUGCCGCAGCUAACGCAUUAAGUGCCCCGCCUGGGGAGUACGGCCGCAAGGCUA
rnacentral:rRNA from 1 species